rnacentral:rRNA from 1 species
CAAUAGCGUAUAUUAAAGUUGUUGCAGUUAAAAAGCUCGUAGUUGAAUUUUUGCUUGCCGCCGAUGUCGGAACUUCCGUACGUUCGGCGGCGUGCAUCCUUGGGUGGAACCUGUGUGGCAUUAGGUUGUCGUGCAGGGGAUGCUCAUCGUUUACUGUGAAAAAAUUAGAGUGUUCAAAGCAGGCUUACGCCGUUGAAUAUAUUAGCAUGGAAUAAUAAGAUAGGACCUUGGUACUAUUUUGUUGGUUUGCGCACCGAGGUAAUGAUUAACAGGGACAGUUGGGGGUAUUCGUAUUCCAUUGUCAGAGGUGAAAUUCUUGGAUUUAUGAAAGACGAACUUCUGCGAAAGCAUUUGCCAAGGAUGUUUUCAUUAA